ACAACAUCUACAUAUUGCAUGAUACAUCCUGAUAUUACAAAGCAAAAUACUUUGCUCAUUCGAUUUAUAUUAUUAAUUAGACAUUAUAAACAUUUUAUUAUUAUAUUGUAUAAGAUCUUGACUGUACAUUAGAUCUGCUUUAGAAUACUUAGUAAUGGUAAUGAGCGUGGCGUCAUAAAACCAUGUAUGUAAUUAUAUUUACGAUGCAUUUAUCGCAGUUAAUAUUAUCUAAUGUUACAUAUGCAAUGUUUACAGACAUAAUAACUCGCAAUAUUUGUUCCUUCUGCUUAAAACUGGCUUAAACCGCCCACGUGUUGCAUGCAAAUACGUCAGCCUGUAGUAUAACACGAAAACGUUGCUCUACAGUGCAAAAUCCUGAAUUCUGCUCUUAAAAACUUAAAAUGUAACCGUGCUGUCAUGUUUUAUUGCUGUGGGUUAUUUUUAUUCUCGGACACACAGCAGCAGUGCCUUUUGAGGCGACGCAACGUGGCUUUCAGUAGCGUGCUCGUGUCAGUAGGGGGCGUGAGCGCUCAAGACACGUGAUUUCGAUUCAAAGUGAUACUUACUGCUGUCAAUCACAAUCCAAAGUACUGUAACCACACUGAACCUGCAUGCUGCACAGUUAUAAAUUAUGUUUUAACUCCACUACAGACCCUGAAUGAAGGUCUUUUUUUUCCUGUUUGGAAACCACCAUGAUUUUCCACCAUCAGAUUCUAACUAUGUGCUUCGUGAACUCAAGACAGACACAAGAAAUGGAGCUGCACUUCACAUGGGUGGUGGCCUAAAGUGCCCCUAUUAUGCUUUUUUUGUAUAUUAUCUUUCAUAUAGUGUGUAAUAUAGAUGUAAAAGGUCUGCAAAGUUUCAAAGAUCGAAGUUAUUGUCUCCCAAAAGAAAGAACAGAUUCUGAAGUGCCUGAAACGAGCCGUCAGUAAUUCCAGUUUUACUUCCUGCUCGAACCUACGUUGGUUUGUAACAAAUUUGCAUAAUGGUUUUCAUUAGCUGCCUGUGAACAACGCCUGUUUGCCCCGCCCUCAAACACUGUAGUUGUAGGCCUGGAAGAGUUUGGUUCAUGUUGUCGACAUGUCGAGAAGAUGCUGUUUUCUGCACUGCCAAAUGCACUUCUGAAGGAUGAGGACUCAGGCUCGAAUUGAUACAGUAAAACCGACGGCAUCAUUACUGUUCAUAUUACUGUGUAUCGAGUGCUGAGGGAAGCCUCUGGAGCUGAAAUUCACCAAUCACCAAUCACAACAGACCGGGCCAUCUGACCAAUCAGAGCAGAGCAGACCAAUCCCUUUAAAAUAGCAUAAUAGGGGCACUUUAACACAGUACAACCCUGAACAGAGGUCAAAGGUCGACUCUGCAGCAAGCUGGACUAAAACAUGACAAACCAUAUGGAACGAGUCAGCUGACUGCAAUAUUUGCAUCUGUGUCACAUACUGUAUCUGACUCAACUGAGGUUGUUGAUCUCCACCUUCUCUUUGGGCCAGGAUAGUGUUGACCAGCUGAACAAGAUCACAUGACCAUCACCCACGACAUAAUUCAUUCUGAUUUUUUUAAUGAGCCAUAAACUGUACAAUUGUUUCACUCACAUCAAUAAUCCAAUGUCAAUUUAUUUAUUUGCUUAUAUUGAAAGCUGUCAUAACAGAGAUAAUCUACAGUGGUCAUUAUCAGAAAAUAAACCUCUUUAGACUGAUA